rnacentral:rRNA from 1 species
GUGCCAGCCGCCGCGGUAAUACGGAGGGGGCAAGCGUUAUUCGGAAUCAUUGGGCGUAAAGGGCGCGUAGGCGGCUUGGCAAGUCAAAGGUGAAAUCCCUCGGCCUAACCGAGGAACUGCCUUUGAAACUGCUUGGCUUGAGGCCGGGAGAGGGUAGCGGAAUUCCCAGUGUAGCGGUGAAAUGCGUAGAUAUUGGGAGGAACACCAGUGGCGAAGGCGGCUACCUGGACCGGUUCUGACGCUGAGGCGCGAAAGCGUGGGGAGCAAACAGGAUUAGAUACCCGCGUAGUCC